ensembl:lncRNA
UUUCAAAGUUUGUUUUUUCAUAAAAGCUUCAAACAAACAGAGGUGACUGAUCUCGGAAACGGUGUAAUGUAUUUAAAAAUGGCUACAGCUACCGUCAGCAUGCUUGCUAGGUAACGACUACACGUGUCUACUGCAGCAUUAGCCAUUUAAUCCAACGAUGAUGGAUUAAAUCUAUUACAAACGUUAAAGGACUUGUGUGCUGCAAAAUACCCUCACAUGCUUGAAAAUGAGUGAUUCAGAGGAUCCCGAGCUGGAGGAAGAGCUUCAGGCUGCUGACGAACUCCUUCAAGAUAUGCAGAAUGAUGCACAGAGUGAACCUCAGCCAAGACCAGUGCGCUGGAAAAAACGUGACAGACAGGGAGCUUUUAUUCCUCAAAGACCAUCAACCAGUCGAAGUACUAGUUGCAUGCCACGUGGUCAGUGUUCACACAACCAUUGAUUUUAUCUCACAACUUGUUUUCACCAAAGAAUUUCAGUAAGUAAAUAUUCUUCAUUCCCCCCCCCCCG